rnacentral:rRNA from 1 species
GACAGAGGUCCCGAGCGUUAGGCGGAAUCACUGGGCUUAAAGCGUGUGUAGGCGGAUCUGUAAGUACCUUGUGAAAUCCCACGGCUCAACCGUGGAACUGCUUGGUAUACUGCGGAUCUUGAGCCACCUAGGGGCAACCGGAACAAGUGGUGGAGCGGUGAAAUGCGUAGAUAUCGCUUGGAACGCCGAAGGUGAAAACAGGCUGCUGGGGUCGCGCCGACGCUGAGACACGAAAGCCAGGGGAGCAAACGGG